rnacentral:rRNA from 1 species
UACGAAGGGGGUGAGCGUUGUUCGGAAUUACUGGGCGUAAAGCGCGCGUAGGCGGCCGAUCAAGUUAGAUGUGAAAGUCCUGGGCUUAACCUGGGGACUGCAUUUGAUACUGCUUGGCUUGAAUUCGGGAGAGGAUAGCGGAAUUCCCAGUGUAGAGGUGAAAUUCGUAGAUAUUGGGAAGAACACCGGUGGCGAAGGCGGCUAUCUGGACCGACAUUGACGCUGAGGCGCGAAAGCGUGGGGAGCAAACAGG